rnacentral:lncRNA from 1 species
UCAAAGCCACAGGCGGCUGGGAGAGAAAAUAUGGAUAACUAGGGCAAAUCCCGUAAUGAUUGUAGUUUCCUAAAAAAUCUCUGCCGCUGGAACACUCACUCGGAACAGUCAUCAAGACUGUUCUGCGUGAAAACCACCAAAUUGCAUUGUUUUCUGCCUCUUUUGUUCCAGCUGAUCCAUCUCCCAUCAAAUGCAACUCCAGACCUGUAAUGACUCCAAAGGACUAGGAAGACUCGAUAAAGACUUGAAAACUAAUUUAAAAGCAUAUAUACAAGAUGUAUAAAACACCAUAUAUCAAUUCCCCCAGACUUAGAUCCUUGUUUGUCCUCAAACAAUGUCAAGUAUCAAGAACAGGGAGAAAAGUUUGAAAGUGUGGGAACUCUCCUAUUCUCAGCAACCAUACUUUAACCACGAAUCUCUGAACCAUACAAGCAGUAAAACUAGGACAACACACCCUUACCGGAACCCCACUGACUGCUGUUCAAAAAUCGGCUUCAUACUCUUCAUCUCAAACCUGAAAAAGCAACACUAUCGAGACAGAACUCCCUACAUUCAUUUAAGAGUAGCGUGAGCUUCUCAUCACAGGCAUCAUUCAGGGUAGACGGUCUAAAUGUGGAACAGGCUAUUUAAUGGUGGAGUUAAAAGUGUUUAGGGGAUACCAUUUCAUUUAAGAGGAUGCAUGAUAUCACACAAAAUGGCAAGAGAGGAUAGAUCCAUUGAUGUCCACAGCCUCUACUCGUUUUUGCUCUAUCUGGUGCGACUGUUCUGAUGACGGAACAGGCAACUGAGUGUUAUGCUUUCCAUUUUCCUCUACACACUCUUCAAUACUUGGUACCAACUUCUUGCUCGACCUUUCCAGUGGCUCCAUGUUUCUUUUCUUUCUUCCCCUUCUCCAUCACAUUAAUCUCGUUUUUUUUUUUUUUUUUUUUUUUUUUUGAAGACUGAUAUGGUGAUGUGACGAAGAAAGAGGUAAUACAUGAUCGUUCUGAGUGCCACUGGUGGUUCUGAUUUCGCGACCAUUCUGGUUCUCCACCCCUGCUCUUGCGCAGUUUAUUGGUUAUGGAGCGGUUGCUCCCUUAAUCUGCUUGUUCUCCUUUCUUACUGAAUUUUUGUAGCAGUAACGAGUAGCAGGCUGCGUUGAUCCUUUCCUCUCCGACCUUUUUGCACAUAUCUGCACAUAUGACACUGAAAAACAAAUGCAUGAAGGUGGAAUAAAGGCUAAGGUGCAGGGUGGGAACUAGCUAAAGAUGAGCUAGCCACUCAGGAUCAGCAAGAUGGAUAAAAAGGAUAAGAAGUUUUGAGUGUGUUCUCGUUUCCCUGAUCUAAUGCCCAUAACAAGAAGAACUUCAGUCAAGAUUAGGUUCAAGUAAGGUGGAGUUAUGUCUACCCAGUGUAACCUGAUCGGCUGAGAACUUCUGGAGAAUCAAGUGAGAUAUGUCAGGGUGUUCCAGGUCCACAUGUGUGUCUUUCGCCACUGCUAAGGUCACUGAAUAAGAUAACUAAAGCACGAGGUGGUCAGUGAUCAACACAGAAUAAGGUCCUAAUUCCCACAAAGUUUUGACUGACUCAAUAAAAAACGGACUCAAAUUGACCCAAAAGAAAAACAAAAGAGAGAAACGAGUUAGUAAACGACGAAAACCCUCCCCCAGACUUACUUCACAACGUCCCUGGUGUGAAAAUAAAUCAGAGAGAAGGAGAAAACAAAAAUAAUUUUUUUUUGGUCGAGAUACUUACCUGAGUGGAGCAGACGCUCCAUGAAAGUUCUGGGUGUUCUAUCGUCAGAUGAUCGCCUGGAACAACCGCUCUUUUCAGGGGGUAGGUUGUUCCGUUUCUGCAACCCAGAAUUUUUGAAGUAUCUCGAAUUUUUCUGCUUUUUGACCUGAAACUCAAUAAACUAAAACGAAAAAUAAGUAAACAAAAACAAAACCAAGUUAUAUUUACACUUACCAGUGGGUUGCCUCCCACCAAGCGCUUGGUUUAAGUCUCUAGCUUGACUUGGUGACUGGGAUCAGUCGGGUUGAGCAGGAGGGCCUGUUCCAAAACAAGCGCCACAAUCAGACAUGUUCAGCUUCAGAACUCUACUCAGCAACCCUUUCACAGCAGCUUCCCCUUUCUCCUUCAGCUCAUGUGUGAGAAUAGCUCUGACUUUAGAGAAAGUUUUAGAGGUACCCUUGCACUUUACCUCAUACUCAAUGGAGUUCUCAUCACACUUGAGAGGUAUCAAAGUCAUUGUAGGAUCUCCCUUGACCCUUUUCUUCUGGACUUUCUGUUUCACCCUUGAAUUCCCUCUGAAUUUAGUAGGAUCAGUGCUAGGAUCUUCAUCAAAGAACAGUCUGCUCUCACCCUUAUCACCAUGCUCCUUCUUUGGAACAACCUUCAGCUUUUCUACAUCAAACACUGAGAUGCGAGAGGCGUGUGAUGAGGAAGAUCUGGUGGGUACAGCCUUGUAGAAAACUUUCUUGUUGAUGUUGGAGAAGCAGACUCUCUUGUUGGGCAUAUCGAUGGUUGCUCCAACAGUAGCCAUGAAUGUCCUUCCAAAUAUCAAAGGCAUCUCAUGAUCCUUGUUCAUCUCAACAACUUGAAACUCAGCAGGAACAAUGCAUUCUCCUACUUGAACAUGAAGGCUGCGGAUGGUUCCAUAUGGGAUUGCUCUGGAAGAGUUUGCAAAGGUCAGGGUCAGCUGAGAACGCUCAACAUCAGCAAUACCCAAAUCGUCUACAAUAGCCUUUGAGACGAGAUUCACACAAGAACCAGAGUCACAAAGAGCAUCCUUGAAGGUUGUUCCUGCGAUGGAACAUGGGAAAACAAACUUUUCAGGAUCAUCAACCUUAGGCAAUACCUUCAAUGCUGGUGUAGACAGUGCUUUGAUAUAGAGAACCUUGAUCUCCUCUUGAGUCUCUCUACAGUGUUUAAAGAACUGGAGCAAUGGACGAAUCUGCAGUGCAUCUUCAAAUGCAAGUUCUUUAGGAAGCCUUCUCACCACCUUGUUAAAACCUAUCAGCUGCUCUUCACUAAUGGGAUCCAUCAGAUGUCUAGGUGGAAUUGGAUAGGGAACCUUGGAAACAUAUACUCGAGAUGGUGGAGUCUCGGCAAGUUCGCUAGAAGCAGUCACUCCAGAGCUAGCAGACUGCUCUGCUCUCUCUUCUGCGCCUGGAGCAGUCUCAGCGAACGGAUGCUCUAUUGCAUUACAGUGCUCAGUCCUAGGAUUUUUAUCAGUUCUUCCAGGGAGCAUCUCUUGUUGCCUCUUGACACUCUCAGCUGUUUGAGCAAGCUGAACAUCGAUCUUUCUUAUGUGGAUUGCAAGAUUGUCAUACUUGUUAUUCAGCUCAGUGAACAUGUUGCCCAUCCUGGUAUUCAUUUCUGUGGUUACCUGAUUCAACGCCUUGGCCUGAACCUGCUGACCCUGCAACAAUUGUUGCAUCAUCAUACCCAGACCCUUCAGCUCAUCUGGUUGACUGUUCUCGUUAGCUGGAACAGCUUGCUGAUUGCUCUGCGGUUGUCGCUUGUUCUGGUUUUGAAUAUGCCCAGCUGUAGCUUGCUCCAUGUUGAAGACGUGCCCUUGGUUGUUUUUCAGUAGCUGAUCAACCUUGGCAGUCAGCUCAUCUAUUUUCUGGGUGUCAGAACUGUUCCCUUUCUUGGAGCAAUCACUCUCCUCUUUCUUAUUAGCUGAGCUAGCAGCCAUGUUCUCAAUCAGCUUAAACGCUCUAUCAGUGGUUUGAGUCAUGAAGUCUCCAUUGCUCGCAGAGUUUAGAGCACCUUGGUAUUUCCAGUCCACUCCAUCAUAGAAAAUGUCCAGGAGGUAAUCAUCAUCAAAUCCAUGGUGAGGACAUUCUCUGCGAUAGUCAUUGAAGCGCUCCCAUGUGUCGCAGAAAGGCUCAUUAGUGAGCUGUCUGAAGGAGGUGAUCUUGUUCCUCAAUGCAGCUGUUCUCGCCUUAGAGUAGAAAUAACUGAGGAACGCUGAUCGGACCUGUUCCCAUGAAGUGAGAGAGCCGGUAGGGAGAGAGUUCAACCACCGUGCAGCUUUUCCAUCAAGAGAGAAUGGGAAUAACAUGCACCUGAUGUAAUCUGGUGGAACACCAUUAGCGCGAGUGAAACUACAGACUUUUUCGAAACUCUCAAUAUGCUCCAUUGGAAUUUCUGUAGAGAGACCAGAGAACACCUUUCUCUGUACUAGACCGAUCAAAGCAGGCUUGAUCUCGAAGUCCUGCCUGGUACAAGGUGGAGGAACAAUGGCAGAGCGCGUAGUAGGAAUGUUACGCGGAAGGUUUCUCUGCCCGAUUGGAACAGUCUGCGCCUGUUGUUCCUGCUGCGCGAGAGCAGCCUGUUCAGCAGCAUCCUGCUGAGCUUGGAUGGUCUGCUGCAUUUGUUGCAUCUGCUGCUGCAUGAGUGCCAUAGCCGCAGCGAGAUCAUCCUGAUUGGCGUGAUCACCCAUAGUGGUGUCAGUUUGCCUUGGCUGUUGACGAUUUGUUCUUUCUAACCUUGCUAGCUCCUGGUUGGUAAAUGUAACUAACUCUCCUUGUGCGUUUCUCCGAGUAUGUCUACUGGUCAUGCACCUGGAAGAUUAGCUGCAACAAAAAGGAUAAGACAAGUUAGAGGUCUUAGACUAAAUAAAUAACCGAAAAAUAAAGGUAAAAAGAUGGUCCCCGGCAACGGCGCCAAUUUGAUAUUACGUGUAUACGCACACCAAAUAACUUAAUGUGCACACUACCACAAUCGAAUGGUAUGUCGAUGUAGCACUUUAGGAUCGAAUCCACAGAGACCAACUGUUACACUUUAUUUCUAUAGGAUCAAUAUUAAGCUAAAACAAUAUGGGAGUUUUAAGAUUGAUGUAUUAUAACAGAAAAUAAAAGAUUAGUUAAAAGGUUUUCAGAUGAUUAAAAGAGCUAGGUUCAGGGUGAUUCAUUGGGAUACUUAGGAUCAUGAGCUACACAACUAUUCAGGAAAACAAUACGAGCCAAUCUAUAACUUGAACAACAAGAAUAGAUAAACCCACUGUCGUGGUGUCUACCAAUUUAUCAAGCAAUCCUAAUGCCUAAACUGUCGUUUGGAUCAGAGAAUGAUGACAAGCAUUAAGUUCAGAUUCAAUUGGUUCACGAUUCGCCUUAACAUCAGCUUUCGUUGGCUAAGGACAAAUCGCCUAUCUAUGCUAUUUCCAGUAACCUAAAACACUUUUGAUGAAUAGAUUAAACUUGUGAUCAGAUGCUAAAUGGCCAGUUUAACAUAAGCAAUAAGCAUAACAAUAGACAGAGAUAUCAAAGAAUAACAAUCCUAUUUGUGUCUAGCUCAUUGAUCCACGAUCCUUAACACCCUAAACCUAACAAGCGACUACUCAGACAUGGACAAAGAAAUCACAGAGACAAAGACUGAAUAAAACAUCAUGCAAUUCAAUAGAAUAAGAAUAGGGUUCAGGAUAAUCUUCUCUAUGACGAGAUAGAUGGAGCCUUCUCCCUUUACAAUAAGCAAAUCCUCAAAUUCUAAAGUCUCCAAUGGUUUUCUUCUGUCUAGAAUAGCGUAGAGAUGAUAAAGAGAAACAUAAAAUAUGAUAUAUCAAAGCCACAGGCGGCUGGGAGAGAAAAUAUGGAUAACUAGGGCAAAUCCCGUAAUGAUUGUAGUUUCCUAAAAAAUCUCUGCCGCUGGAACACUCACUCGGAACAGUCAUCAAGACUGUUCUGCGUGAAAACCACCAAAUUGCAUUGUUUUCUGCCUCUUUUGUUCCAGCUGAUCCAUCUCCCAUCAAAUGCAACUCCAGACCUGUAAUGACUCCAAAAGGACUAGGAAGACUCGAUAAAGACUUGAAAACUAAUUUAAAAGCAUAUAUACAAGAUGUAUAAAAC